UUCAAUUGAAAUACCUUCUUUCAAUUAUGAUUUAUUGCUUUCAAUGCCGUCAAUAUCUUCAGUUCAAUUCUGCCUCUUGUUACCAACGAAGAAGGAGACAAGAUUGGAAAACUUGCUGGCGAUGGUAUUUGGCUGGACGAAGAAAAACCGUCGCCUUUUUCUCUUUAUAAGUUCUUUUUGAAAAUGCCAGAUUCUGAAGUCGAGAAUCUUCUCAAGUCGUUCACGUUGUUCAAGUAGUUUUAUUCCACUGGAAGAAAUUGCAUUUCUCAUGGAACAACACAAAAAAUCACCAGAGAAGAGAAAAGCACAAACGAUUCUAGCUGAAGAUAUGACGCUUCUAGUCCAUUGAGGUGAUUUUUAAUAAACAAAUAAAUCACUUCUUUUAGCUUUUUAAGUUUUUCUCUUUCAGAGGCGGGUCUAAAACAAGCCGAAAAAGUCACAGAAGCGCUCUACAUGGCAAAUGUUGAAGGACUAGGUGAACUGAACUACAACUAAAUCCUAUCGUUAAGAUUUUUCCAGAGCCUGGACUAUCCAUUCUUGAUCUGGCACUAAAAGCUUAAUGUUUUACAAUAGAGACUGAUACGAUGAGAAUCAUCACAGCUGGGGGUUCUAUAUCAAGCAAUAGCGAACUCAAAACUUCGCACUAACAUCACACUAACUCAUCACCACAAACAUCAGAUACCAUUUAUAUCUAUUAGUUCAAAAUGUUAAAUGUCUCCUUUUUGUUGGCAAGGAUGAACAUAUGAAUAAAAACAAUUUGUUUAGCUUAUAUCCAUAUUCAAUUUUACAUUAAUUAAAAGUCAUUAAUAAUAAUAUUGUAUUCUUUUUUGUGAUAAAAAUAAAUAAUUUAAAUCAUUAAACAUGUA